UGGCUCAGUUGGUAGAGCAUGGUGUUUGCAACGCCAGCAUGGUGUGUGCAACACCAGGGUUGUGGGUUCAAUUCCCAC
rfam:Salmo salar isolate Sally breed double haploid chromosome ssa09, whole genome shotgun sequence.